AAACAUGGAGGGAGAGGAGGAGCGGUGAGAGUACGGGAGGUAGGGUGUGUCGGAAAUACUGAGCGUAAAGCGUAUUAAAGGUGGACGGUAAGUCAGGGGUGAAAUCCCGAGGCUAGAGCUCGGAACGGAGGUCGAUACUGGCGAUAUUCGAGGCCGGGAGAUGUGAGUUGAACACCGAGAGUAGAGGGGAAAUUCGUAGAUAUGCGGAAGAACACCAGUGGCGAAGGCGGCUCACUGGCCCGGGACUGACGCUGAGAUACGAAAGCGUGGGGAGCAAACAGGAUUAGAUACCCCGGUAGUC
rnacentral:rRNA from 1 species